GUUCAUUUUGUGAAUUUGUUGUUCAUUUCCCUUAUGGAAUUGGAUUUUUGGUUCGAUUUAACUUCCAAUCGGUAUCUCAUUCUAUGGAACUGGAGAAGUUAGUGUACAACUUGAACGGACAGGGACGAGAGUUUUUACGUGGAAUACGGAUGCAUGGGGUUAUGGCCCUGGGAUCACAUCCUUGUACCAAUCUCAUCCUUGAGUACUAGCUGUUCUUCCAAGCGGUGAGGCACUAGGAGUUCUUGGCGAUACUACGAGACGAUGUGAGCUACAUGUGAACUUUGGAUUCCUGAUUUGUGUCUUUUUCAUGUAUAUGACUGUCAAAUGUUUAGUGAUUCUAAGUCAAUUGGUUUUGGUUAGGUAGAUUGAUUUGCAGAAAGAAUUAACUAUAAAGUUCAUCUCUCCAUCACCGUUUCCUGUCAUUACAUUUGCUCCAUAUGCUUCACCAACCAGUGUUUUGAUAUCUUAUCUCAUGCAGUUGGUAAUCUCGUCGAGCGCUUGAUAGUUGUUCCAUUACAUGUUCAAUAUGAACUUUUUGAAUGCAUUCUUUGGCACAGAUGCAGAUAGAGUGCCUGCAUAUUAAUAUACGUCGUUGAUUCUAUUCUCGCUAUUUCUCAGAUG